CUUGGUUGAUCUUGCCAAUAGUCAUAUGCUUAUCUCAAAGAUUAAGCCAUGCACGUGUAAGUAUAAAUUAAUUAUGACUGUGAAACUGCGAAUGGCUCAUUAAAUCAGUUAUAGUUUGUUUGAUGGUAUUUGCUACUUGGAUAACCGUAGUAAUUUUAGAGCUAAUAUGUGCAACAAACCCCGACUUUUGGAAGGGAUGCAUUUAUUAGAUAAAAGGUCGACGCAGGCUUUGCCCAUUACUUUGAUGAUUCAUGAUAAUUUGACAGAUCACAUGGCCAUCGUGCCGACGACACAUCAUUCAAAUUUCUGCCCUAUCAACUUUCAAUGGUAGGAUAGUGGCCUACUAUGUUGGUGACGGGUGAUGAAGAAUUAGGAUUCGAUUCUGAAAAGGGAGCCUGAGAAACGGCUACCACAUCCAAGGAAGGCAGUAGGCGCGCAAAUUACCCAAUCCUAGCAUGGGGAGGUAGUGAUAAUAAAUAACAAUAUUGGGCUCUUUGAGUUUGGUAAUUGAAAUGAGUACAAUCUAAAUCUUUUAACAAGGAUCCAUUGGAGGGCAAGUCUGGUGCCAGCAACCGUGGUAAUUCCAGCUCCAAUAGCGUAUAUUUAAGUUGUUGCAGUUUAAAAGCUUGUAAUUAGACUUUGGAUUGGGUCGAUUGGUCCGCCUCACGAUGUGCACCAAUUGGCUCGUCCCUUCUACUAACAAUACGCUCCUGGCCUUAACUGGCCGGGUCAUGCCUCCGGUGCUGUUACUUUGAAGAAAUUAGAGUGCUCAAAGCAAGCCUACGCUCUAUAUACAUUAGCAUGUGAUAACAUCAUAGGAUUCUGGUCUUAUUGUGUUGGCCUUCGGGAUCGGAGUAAUGAUUAACAGAGACAGUUGGGGGCAUUCGUAUUUCAUAGUUAGAGGUGAAAUUCUUGGAUUUAUGAAAGACGAACAAUUGCGAAAGUGACAUUUCGGACCACUCGCCCAUGAUUGUUAAAAUUAUGCCUGUCCCCAAGUCCUCUAAGCCUUUUAAGUUUUUCAAUUUCUGGAUGGAUCACCCAGAUUUUGCCAGGAUAGUUUCGGAAGUGUGGACCUCAUCCUUCCAUGGUUCGCAUAUGUUCACCCUCUGUGCUAAGCUCCGUCUUCUCAAAUGUAGACUCAAGCGACUCAACAGGGAGUCCUUUUCGGAUUUAUCUAUAAGAACUACAGAAGCUAGGCGAGUUCUUCAGGAAACUCAAGAUGCUAUACAAGCAGAUCCCAUGAAUUCUAGACUUGCUGAGUUAGAGAGGCAUCAGAUGAAUGUGUUUUCAGAAUUGCGUCUCCAAGAGGAGUCGUUUUAUAGGCAAAAAUCUAGAGUUCGUUGGUUGAAAGACGGUGACUUGAAUACUAAGUUCUUCCACCAAGUGGUGAACAUGAGGCAUCUCCAUAAUAGAAUCAUCUCGGUAACCAAUGGAGGUGUCACAACUUCGGAGCCCCUGGAAGUCCAAAAAUUUUUCGUAGAUCAUUUUCGGGAUCUUCUGGCUUUUUCCCCUUCCUCGGCAUGUCCAGCGAAGGAGGAGAUUCAGGCAGUUCUGAAGCACUCUUUGAAUGCGGACCAGGUGUGUUCCCUAUCUAGACCUAUCUCGGAUGUGGAAAUCAAGGAUACUCUAUUUUCUCUUGCUGUGGGUAAAGCUCCCGGGCCUGAUGGUUUUAAUGUUGAAUUUUUUAAGCAUUCUUGGGAUAUUGUUGGUGCUUCGGUAAUAUUG
rnacentral:rRNA from 1 species